UACAGAGGGUGCUAGCGUUAAUCGGAUUUACUGGGCGUAAAGCGCACGUAGGCGGCUUUCUAAGUCGGGGGUGAAAUCCUGGAGCUCAACUCCAGAACUGCCUUCGAUACUGGAAAGCUCGAGUCCGGGAGAGGUGAGUGGAACUGCGAGUGUAGAGGUGAAAUUCGUAGAUAUUCGCAAGAACACCAGUGGCGAAGGCGGCUCACUGGCCCGGUACUGACGCUGAGGUGCGAAAGCGUGGGGAGCAAGCAGG
rnacentral:rRNA from 1 species